CCUACGGGGCACCAGUGGGGAAUUUUCCGCAAUGGGCGAAAGCCCGACGGAGCAAUGCCGCGUGGAGGUAGAAGGCCCACGGGUCGUGAACUUCUUUUCCCGGAGAAGAAGCAAUGACGGUAUCUGGGGAAUAAGCAUCAGCUAACUCUGUGCCAGCAGCCGCGGUAAUACAGAGGAUGCAAGCAUUAUCCGGAAUGAUUGGGCGUAAAGCGUCUGUAGGUGGCUUUUUAAGUCCGCCGUCAAAUCCCAGGGCCCAACCCUGGACAGGCGGUGGAAACUACCAAGCUGGAGUACGGUAUGGGCAGAGGGAAUUUCCGGUGGAGCGGUGAAAUGCGUAGAGAUCGGAAAGAACACCAACGGCGAAAGCACUCUGCUGGGCCGACACUGACACUGAGAGACGAAAGCUAGGGGAGCGAAUGGGAUUAGAUACCCCUGUAGUC
rnacentral:rRNA from 1 species